GAUGAACGCUGGCGGCGUGCCUAAUACAUGCAAGUCGAGCGAACAGACGAGGAGCUUGCUCCUCUGACGUUAGCGGCGGACGGGUGAGUAACACGUGGAUAACCUACCUAUAAGACUGGGAUAACUUCGGGAAACCGGAGCUAAUACCGGAUAAUAUAUUGAACCGCAUGGUUCAAUAGUGAAAGACGGUUUUGCUGUCACUUAUAGAUGGAUCCGCGCCGGAUUAGCUAGUUGGUAAGGUAACGGCUUACCAAGGCAACGAUGCGUAGCCGACCUGAGAGGGUGAUCGGCCACACUGGAACUGAGACACGGUCCAGACUCCUACGGGAGGCAGCAGUAGGGAAUAUUCCGCAAUGGGCGCAAGCCUGACGGAGCAACGCCGCGUGAGUGAUGAAGGUCUUCGGAUCGUAAAACUCUGUUAUUAGGGAAGAACAGAUGUGUAAGUAACUAUGCACGUCUUGACGGUACCUAAUCAGAAAGCCACGGCUAACUACGUG
rnacentral:rRNA from 1 species